rnacentral:tRNA from 1 species
GGGGGUGUCGUCCAACGGCUAAGACUCUGGUCUCCAAAACCAGUUAUCCAGGUUCGAAUCCUGGCACCCCCG